CAGUCGCCGCGGUAAAACGAAGGGUGCAAGCGUUAAUCGGAAUUACUGGGCGUAAAGCGUGCGUAGGUGGUGGUUUAAGUCCGUUGUGAAAGCCCUGGGCUCAACCUGGGAAUUGCAGUGGAUACUGGGUCACUAGAGUGUGGUAGAGGAUAGUGGAAUUUCCGGUGUAGCAGUGAAAUGCGUAGAGAUCGGAAGGAACAUCUGUGGCGAAGGCGACUAUCUGGGCCAACACUGACACUGAGGCACGAAAGCGUGGGGAGCAAACAGGAUUAGAUACCCCAGUAGUCCCUGUCUCUUAUAA
rnacentral:rRNA from 1 species